rnacentral:rRNA from 1 species
UACGUAGGGGGCAAGCGUUGUCCGGAAUCAUUGGGCGUAAAGAGCGUGUAGGCGGUCCUGUAAGUCCGCUGUGAAAGUCAAGGGCUCAACCCUUGAAUGCCGGUGGAUACUGCAGGACUAGAGUCCGGAAGAGGCGAGUGGAAUUCCUGGUGUAGCGGUGAAAUGCGCAGAUAUCAGGAGGAACACCGGUGGCGAAGGCGGGUCUCUGGGCCGAUACUGACGCUGAGGAGCGAAAGCGUGGGGAGCGAACAGG